rnacentral:lncRNA from 12 species
GAUAUAGUGAACCAUGGCUACUACACUUUUACUAUAAUAAAACCAUGGUUACUUUUCGUAAGGGCUGAUAGAUUUCAUGAGAUUCAGCUAAAAAAGUGACAUCAAUCCAGAUCCAUUAUUGUCAAGGGAUGCUGCGGUUACCCACAGCAACCAAUGGCACAACACUUGUUAUAUACAUUUCUAUCGCGCAAAUGGAAGAGCUAAACUCUAUUAGCUGAACUCAUCCUGUUAUUAAUUUCUCUCAGACACAAAAUAAGUUAAAAUCUAGGCCGUGUUAAGGAGUUUUAUUAAUUCUCGCGCGCUACAAUCUCGUGAGCACUUGCCAGUCUGAGCACGAGCGUCAGUAGAUUUUCCCUAAAAACCCAGCGCGCGCAGAAAACACGUUCUCGGCCAAUAACGCGUGCCAGCGAUUGGCAGAUCAUUUCCAACAUUUAGCAAGUGAAACCACGUGCAAGCAUCUGUUCGCUCCAAUCAAUUGAUGUAAACGGAGCGAAGCGGACCUUUGUGGGAGCAAUUGUGUUUCCGUGGCGCGGAGGUAGAUCUCUAUUAGUGAGUGUGGAGCCCAUUGAAUUUGUGUUGAAAGCGGAAUAAUACGGUCAUAUAAAUAGUAGGGAAACGGAUAUUAUCGGGCGCGUCUAAUUAAUCAGCCGUUUAAUGCUUAUUUGGCAACAUACGGAUUAGACUGUGCUUAGUCAAUAGCGUUUUAUAUGAAAAAGAAGCUAUUUUUACCUGGAUGCACGGAGUAUUAUGCGUUUUCUUUUCUCAUUGGACUGUAAAAUACGCAUGGUUGAUAUUUUGCAAAUAUUUGGACGUCCACGUAUUCCUUUCAUCUUUUUAUGACUUGUGACUCAAUGAAAACUAUAUUUUGAAACUGACAUUUUUUUUUUGUAGACCACCGAGUGGAGAUGUUAUUCGCCUUCAAAUUAGAUACUUUCCCAUUGCCAAUGCCACAAAACUGCGUCUUUUUCUACGAACCAAGAGCUGUAAAGAAACGCAAGACCCCAUCUCUGUGAAUACUGCGCGUGCUGCAUCAUCUCAUUCAAUUUGCUGUCAGCCAAGAGAGGGGCAACAAUAACUUUGAACGGUUAUUCUGUCACAUUUCCUUCAGUCUCCGCAUCAUUUUCCACAGAUUCAAAGCGGGCAGCUGUUGCAACACACGCAUACACACGCAGUGAAAAUCUAAGACUAACAAAGGAAAACAGAAGCCAAGAAAAAGAGCCAUCAGCCUGGAUGAAAAUGACUGGAGUCCUGGCCAGGAAUACAAGUCGUCUUCUUUUCUAAAGCAGAUGAACUAUCACUGUUUUUGUGAGCCAGGGGCUUUUUGAAAGGAUGUUGAUUUGCACAGAUUGAAGAUUUUCUCUUUGACUUUUUGCUACCAAAACCAGUGCCAAACACUAACCGUGCCAACCAGAAGCAAGAAAUUAUUUCACUAGUAUUUUUGCAUUUUUGUUGAUCCAUUUAAGCCAUUGAAACUCAAUUUACACCAACAUUAGUUCACAAUUUUUACCUUAUCUUCCCUAUUAGUCUUUUUAACUAUAAUAGCAUGUAAUGGUUCCCAAGGUGGAAAGUUUAUAUGUCCAUCACUUAGUUUAAGUCAAAAACAACAAGCAGCUUUUGAUCCCCAAAAUAGGGAGAACAGUGCAUUAUUGGUUAAACAUGCUUUAUGUAAGAGUGGCCGAUACAAAUGCAUUAACCUGAAAGAGUUUGGCUCCUGAUCGAUUGCUCGAUGGAUGGAUGGAUGGGCUUAUGGAUGGCUGGCACAAGCCUCAUUAAACUUUCCAAAUUGAGCUGCUGCUAAUUCUGUUGAUUAGUCGUCUGUUCCUCUCACAAAGGCCCGUUUAAAUCUUCCUCUCCAUCAGAUCUCUUUAGUCAUCCAUCUUGUUUACUUCUCCCUCAAAAGUCUCUGAAGGGUUUAGAUACUGAAGCCAUACAUCUCAUAGCCAUACUAACGUCAAGAUCCCUGCCAUCAUUGCGAGGAUUCAGCUUGGUCAUUCUGAAAGAUCAGGUGCAUGGGUAUAUUCAGGAAUAUCUUUAGAGGUGUGCAUGUUUAACAUUGGUCCAGGUUUGACGUUCCGUGAUCUGCCAUAUUCACCAGCGAGCCAUUGACGCGUUUACUGUCUUGACAGUGGGACGACGUUUAAAGUUGUCACACUACUUGAAAAGAGGCUUUUUAAUAGUUAGGAUAGAUCUUUGGUGUGACUGCUUGACGAUAUCCACGUGUUCCACAUUGACGGAUGAAUCCUGACUUCAUGCCUGUUCAGUGGGCUCAACCAUGCUGUCCUGCCAGAACUGGGCCCAAGCCCCCAUUUGUUUUAUUCUGUUGGGCUGAGCUAAAUCCAGAGCAGAGACACUCACGCAAGAGGGUCCAACACACAUAGACCCUCAAACUUCAACCUUCCAUUUUCUCUCUUCCUUUCCUGAACACUUCUUCCUUUCUGGCCUGACUUGUGUCAUCAAACCAGAAACUAAUAUUUACAUGCUGCUUGUUACACUUCGUGAGUGCCCUAACCGACAUACACUCUUCUAAAGCCUUCGUAAUGAGCCUUUGUCCCGUGGUGCCGCCUUUAGAGAAAAGAUCAGCUCUUUCCCAUUUCUGAACACUUGCUCAUUCAUUGCUUCGUCUUACCUUUAUCUCUAGCCUCAAUGACUUCCUUCUGAAACUCGAAAAGAUGAAGUACUUAGUAUUUUUCUUGAGAACUGACACUGUUAGCCUGAUUAUGUGGUCUGCACAACAGAACCUCAGUGACCUUGAAAGGUAUUCUUGUUAGUCUCACAAGACAUUCUCAUUGCCAAAACUGAGAUUUGUUUACAAGACAACAUCAGUUCUUGGAGCUGAAGAUGACAGUUGUUUACAAGUCAAUGGAAUAGCUGAGUACUACUAACUGUUUCUUUCUAUACGGUUGUUUAGUGAGUUGACAACUGAAGUGCCAACCAGAAUAGAGAACUUUGGUGAGACAUAGUUUACACUCGAACAGAAAUGUUUACAUUUUGCCCAUAAGGUGAACUCAGAUUGAGUCUUGAAUGAAUUGUUAGUGCCAUAGAUCAGUUCAGUUACACAGACUUAAACAAACCACCUUUAAGAAGAAGCUGCACCCAUGACUUCGACUUUCUGACACUUUAAAAGGUUUACAUUGUUAAAAUAUACAUUUUGUUUACACGACUAAAUUGCUUGCAACAAAAGUCAAGAGUCAAAUAUUUGUUCCUUUUGUUUCUCAUCUGAGCCAUUUUCAUAUAUUUAAAGCUGUUGUUUUAUAGAAAUUGUUCAUUGAGAAGAUUCCAAAUUUUUAUUUUUGUGCCAAAUCAAAAUUUUCAAAAAUUCCAGCUCUCACACAUUAAGCAUAAAACGUGUAUAUAGAUUUACCUCAUUCUUGUUAUUAAUUUCCUCAGAAAUAUGUUUACACCCUAACUGAGUCUCAUACUUUUUUCUUUAACCCAGACUCCCGCACUUGGAUGUGCAUUUUGCAUAUUAAAUAAUUUGCAUACUAGUGUAUGCACACGUGAAAGAGAGAUUAACUUGUCUACAUGUCUUAUAUAUUGCCACACUGACUUGCAACUUUUGAUAGACAUCAGCUUUUUGUAGGCCUCAGAAGUCUUUUGUACUAAGGCUUCACAUUUUUUUUUUCAUCUUUGAUAAA